rnacentral:rRNA from 1 species
UACGGGGGGAGCAAGCGUUGUUCGGAUUUACUGGGCGUAAAGGGCGCGUAGGCGGCCAGCGCAAGUCAGUUGUGAAAUCUCCGGGCUUAACUCGGAACGGUCAACUGAUACUGCGCGGCUAGAGUGCAGAAGGGGCAACUGGAAUUCUCGGUGUAGCGGUGAAAUGCGUAGAUAUCGGAAGGAACAUCAGUGGCGAAAGCGACUGCCUGGACCAAUACUGACGCUCAUGUGCGAAAGCGUGGGGAGCAAACAGG